UAAGGAAUAUUGGUCAAUGGACGGAAGUCUGAACCAGCCAUGCCGCGUGGAGGAUGAAGGUCCUCUGGAUUGUAAACUUCUUUUAUCUGGGAAGAAAUGGUUGCUUUCUAGCGAUCUUGACGGUACCAGAUGAAUAAGCACCGGCUAACUCCGUGCCAGCAGCCGCGGUAAUACGGAGGGUGCAAGCGUUAUCCGGAUUCACUGGGUUUAAAGGGUGCGUAGGCUGAAUAGUAAGUCCGUUGUGAAAUCUCUGAGCUUAACUCGGAAAUUGCGGUGGAUACUAUUAUUCUUGAAUACUGUUGAGGUUAGCGGAAUAUGUCAUGUAGCGGUGAAAUGCAUAGAUAUGACAUAGAACACCAAUUGCGAAGGCAGCUGGCUAAACAGAUAUUGACGCUGAGGCACGAAAGCGUGGGGAUCAAACAGGAUUAGAUACCCCGGUAGUCC
rnacentral:rRNA from 1 species